UGGUCCAGAUCACUGCAGAGAACAUGGAUUCCUUGAGGCAGGCAAUGCGAGAGAUAAAGGACUUCACCAUCACCUGUGGGAAGACGGACGUGGAGGAUCCCCAGGAGCACAUCCACAUCCAGUGGGUGGAUGACGACAAGAACUUUAGCAAAUGUGUCAUAAGUCCUAUAAAUGAGAAGUCCAUGGAGACUAUAACAAAUGUGAAGCUAUUCCAUGGAUCAGAAUGUAAAGCAAAUGGAAAAGUUAUCAGAUGGACAGAGGUGUUUUUCCUAGAAAACACCUAAAUGAUCCUACAAAAUGAUCAUUUUAGCAAAUGAUCCUGCAAAUCAAAUUAGAUUGACUAAGCAUGUUGCCAAGGCUUUUUGCCUUGCUCUCUGUCCUCACCUGAAGCUUCUGAAGGAAGAUGGAAUGACCAAACUGGGACUAAGUAUGACACUUGACUCAGAUCAGGUUUGCUAUCAAGCAGGGAGCAAUGGCCAGCCCCUUCCCUCACAGUAUAUGAAUGAUCUGGACAGCACCUUGGUGCCAGUGAUCCCCGGAGGGGCCUGUCAGCUCAGUGAGGGCCCUGUCGUCAUGGAACUCAUCUUUUAUAUCCUGGAAAACA
rnacentral:lncRNA from 1 species